AAAUAAAUAUACUGUCUGUCACUGUCUGUACAUUGAUAUGUGUAUAUCAAUGUACAGACAGUGACUGCCAAGUACUAGCAAGUUAUCUUCACAACAAGCCACUAGUAGAAAGUCACUGACAUAUUUUUAAGUUAACUAUGACAUCAUACAUGAUGAGGAGAGACAGAUGCACAGGAUAGGUGGAGAACAGGAAGGUCCAACAGCACAGUAGAGAAAGGUUAUUUACAUUUAAUGAAAUCAUCUUCUUUUAUGGAAGCUUUUUAUUACUAAGAGGGACGUGUAGAUAGUGGAAGAGCUACAGUAAAUAGAAUCACAUUCUAGUUUUGUGAUCGUAGAGACAGAAGUGUCCGAAACACCCUCCAUGUACAGUAUUUGUGAUGAAGAGAAACAACUUCUUGAUCAGGGAAGGAAUGUUAUUAUGUCAGUUGAGCGAGCAUACCGUAUGUCUGAUUUCUGAUUGGAGGAGCCAAGAGCAACGUCUGGAGAGAGUGAUUCUGAUUGGAUGAACCUGGUUUGUGUGCGUGUGGUGUGAAUGCAUAUAGACAAGUUUUAUUUCUGCGUGUAUAUUUUACAAUAGUUUCCUCAUUAAUAUAUAAUGUCAUGUUAGAGUUGCCGUUUGCCCGAUUUAUUUGGAACUCUCCCAGGUGGCUGAUGAUAUGAUGUCACUGUGAGCCCACACCUGUCUGUCUCUCUUGUCUUGUCUGUCUUAGCCCCCAAUGUGGUCAUACUCAAAGCGCUAUACUAUUAAAAUGUAGCAUGAACAAAAACCAGUGUUGUAUGUAUUCCCUUGUCCAGGCAGAGCCUGAACAGAGUGGAAUGUUUAAUGUUCCAUCAUUUAUCUGGAGAGUCAUCUGCUGAAACCAAGGCAGUUCAUGUCAUAGGACAGUUUGUUUAAAAUAACAGCUACUCUCUCGCUCUGUCACACAUACACACACCCCAAGGCUGCGUUUACACAGGUAGCCCAAUUCUGAUAUUUCUUCCACUAAUUGGUCUUUUGACCAAUCACAUCA
ensembl:lncRNA